rnacentral:Y_RNA from 1 species
AGCUGGUGUGAAAGUAGUGCAUUAUAGAAACUGAUUUUUCAUAAUCAGUUAUUGAUUGAACUCCUUGUUCUACCCUUUCUCCUCCUGUCACUACUGUACUGCACUAGUGUAAA